UAUAGAAAGAUGUCAAUUUGUUUUUUAGAAAAUUCCAUGGUCACAACUCUCUGAAGGAAUACUACGAGAAGGAGAGCUGUGUUCAUUACAUUCAUAAUAUAAAUGUGCCUCUGCUGCUGGUGAACUCGGCUGAUGAUCCGCUUGUGCACAACACGUUGCUCACCAUUCCUCGCACACUCGCAGAAAAGAAAGAAAACGUGAUCUUCGCACUGACACUGCACGGUGGACACCUGGGUUUCUUCGAGGGCGCUGUGCUGUUCCCUCAGCCCCUCACCUGGAUGGACAAGGUCAUUGUCGGCUACGUUAAUGCAAUCUGCCAGUGGGAGAAACAGAAACCACCGUGCCUAAGUCAAGGCGCCCAUUCCAGCGAAACCAAAUGCCAAGACAGUAAAUCUUAACCGACCCCGUCUCCGUUGCACCUCCACCGAGACGUUUUCACCGCCGCACACGAGGGGGAUCGGACAACUAUUUUCAAGCGUUCACUGUCAGUGGGGAAUAUGUGUUUCUCUUUUGUAUCACGGUUUAUAAACGACAUGAAUCGUAAUGACUUUUCAAAGGAGAAAACGGAAAAGCCACUCGAUGACCAAAAACAGUCAUAUAACCGGUGUAGCGAGAGCACCUUUUUAUAUUUACUGUAGUUUGUAGUUGUUUAGAUAUGAUCAGUAUAUCUUGCCCUCGAAUUAGGACACUAAAAACUGAUUAGUUAUCACUGCUAAAUAGGAUCGAACAGAGCUGAGCGAAUCUCACAAAAAACA